rnacentral:rRNA from 1 species
UACAGAGGUCCCAAGCGUUGUUCGGAUUUAUUGGGCGUAAAGGGUGCGUAGGCGGCGGAGUAAGUUGGGUGUGAAAUCCCGGGGCUCAACCUCGGAAUUGCAUUCAAUACUGCUUCGCUUGAGUACUGGAGAGGAGGCUGGAAUUUACGGUGUAGCAGUGAAAUGCGUAGAUAUCGUAAGGAAGGCCGGUGGCGAAAGCGAGCCUCUGGACAGUUACUAACGCUGAUGCACGAAGGCCAGGGGAGCAAACGGG